rnacentral:rRNA from 1 species
CGACCUUGAGCUCAGGCAAGA